GUCUGGUCCAAAGGUAGUGAGUUAUUAUCUCACUUGAUUGCUCACAGUUACAGAUUCAACUCCUUGUUCUAUUAUUUUACCCUCUUCUUACCACUGCACUUGGCUAGUCUUUA
rnacentral:Y_RNA from 1 species